CUCUCCCCUGAGUCACCAUGGAAGACGUGACGAAGACCACCGUCCACACACAGAGCCCUAUUAAAACUGAAUGGAAUUCCCGCUGUGUCCUUUUCACCUAUUUCCAAGGGGACAUUAGCAGUGUGGUGGAUGAACACUUCUCCAGAGCUCUGGGCAAUGUCAAGAGCCCCCAGGGACAGAACCCUUCCAGCCCGAGCGGAGAUGUGCUGCUGAGGAAUGAUAGUGACAUGCCUCCAAAUCAGUGGCGUUUCUCUGCUCCGUGGACAAAGCCACAGCCGGAAGUACCUUUUGCAAAUGGCGCCGCCAGCUGCAGCUUGAAUGGAUCUGGUCUCAUGCCUAUGGAUCAGUACCCACUGUCCCUGACUGGGGGCCCCUCCGUUCAACCUGGCGAGCUGUGGCAUUUCUCCUCCCUCGCCAGCCCCAGCUUCCCAGAGCCUGGCUACCCUCAUGCUUUUUCCACUGGGCACUUGGUUCCGGAGCCCCAGGCUGAGGGGAAGUAUGAGCCCCUCCUAAGUCUCCUCCAGCCAGAGAGAUGCCUAACCCAUCCUCAAGAAUCUGCCUCGUGGGAGGAUGGCAACUCUGCCCAGAUGGCCGGAAGCACAGGAUUGCUCUUCAACCUGCCUCCCAGCUCAGCCCACUUUAAGAAAAUCUAUUUCCCCCCUGAUGGUGGACCUGCCGGUGCCAGCUUUGCAGUUGAAACUCUUCCACUGUCAGUGACAUCGAGAAAACACUUAUUUUCAGCACAGAACCACUGGGGCUACCCGGGUGGGUACCCA
rnacentral:lncRNA from 1 species